rnacentral:rRNA from 1 species
GUGAAAUUGUUGAAAGGGAAGCGCUUGCAACCAGACCUGCCUGCAGUUGCUCAUCCGGGCUUUUGCCCGGUGCACUCUUCUGCUGUCAGGCCAGCAUCAGUUCGGGCGGUCGGAUAAAGGCUUCGGGAAUGUAGCUCCUCUCGAGGAGUGUUAUAGCCCGUUGCGAAAUGCGGCCAGCCUGAACUGAGGUCCGCGCUUCGGCUAGGAUGCUGGCGUAAUGGUUGUAAGCGGCCCGUCUUGAAACACGGACCAAGGAGUCUAACAUCUGUGCGAGUGUUUGGGUGUCAAACCCGUACGCGUAAUGAAAGUGAACGGAGGCGGGAACCCCUCGGGGUGCACCGUCGACCGAUCCUGAUGUCUUCGGAUGGAUUUGAGUAAGAGCAUAGCUGUUGGGACCCGAAAGAUGGUGAACUAUGCCUGAAUAGGGUGAAGCCAGAGGAAACUCUGGUGGAGGCUCGCAGCGGUUCUGACGUGCAAAUCGAUCGUCAAAUUUGGGCAUAGGGGCGAAAGACUAAUCGAACUAUCUAGUAGCUGGUUCCUGCCGAAGUUUCCCUCAGGAUAGCAGUAACGUUUUCAGUUUUAUGAGGUAAAGCGAAUGA